GAUGAACGCUGGCGGCGUGCCUAAUACAUGCCAGUCGAGCGAACAGACGAGGAGCUUGCUCCUCUGACGUUAGCGGCGGACGGGUGAGUAACACGUGGAUAACCUACCUAUAAGACUGGGAUAACUUCGGGAAACCGGAGCUAAUACCGGAUAAUAUAUUGAACCGCAUGGUUCAAUAGUGAAAGACGGUUUUGCUGUCACUUAUAGAUGGAUCCGCGCCGCAUUAGCUAGUUGGUAAGGUAACGGCUUACCAAGGCAACGAUGCGUAGCCGACCUGAGAGGGUGGUCGGCCACACUGGAACUGGGACACGGUCCAGGCUCCUACGGGAGGCAGCAGUAGGGAAUGUUCCGCAAUGGGCGAAAACUUGACGGAGCAACGCCGCGUGAGUGAUGAAGGUCUUCGGAUCGUAAAACUCUGUUAUUAGGGAAGAACAAAUGUGUAAGUAACUAUGCACGUCUUGACGGUACCUAAUCAGAAAGCCACGGCUAACUACGUG
rnacentral:rRNA from 1 species